rnacentral:misc_RNA from 1 species
CGGACUUGACAUGUAGGUGGUCCCUCAGCUUUCGCCUCGGUACCACCUACAUGUCAAGUCCGGGUAAGGUUCUUCGCGUUGCAUCGAAUUAAACCACACGCUCCGCUGCUUGUGCGGGCCCCCGUCAAUUCCUUUGAGUUUUAGCCUUGCGGCCGUAGUCCCCAGGCGGGGUGCUUAUUGCGUUAGCGACGGCACCGGAGGGGUCGAUACCCCCGACACCUAGCACCCAUCGUUUACAGCGUGGACUAC